rnacentral:misc_RNA from 1 species
ACACUCUUUACGUUGCACCAGUGGAAGCAUGUGCAAAAACGCAGUAGGGGAAGUGGAGCGCAUUAAUUUGAGUUCCCGUGAUCUGGAGAGAGGCUUCCAAUUGGAGUCUGUUGAAAGUAGUGCGUUAUGUUAUAUAUGAGGACGAUAAAGUUUUGUGUCUUUACAAGUGCUGUAAUGAAGGAUCUAAGUGGAGACAGCACACAGCUAUAACAAAAUUACAGAGGGGUUUAUGUGCAAAAAUUACGCAAACGUAAAACGUUAUUCUAGUUUAUUGGUGCAUAGAAAUAUUGAGAUAAUUUCGUUUGUUGUUUACCUUAACAUCAAGAAAUGUAAUCGUUUGAAAUUUUUUGCGUUAGAUUAACCUACAAAAAUCAUUGCAGAAAUGUGUGUCGUUAAUGCAGUUUUAAUGUGUUUUUAUGGGUCAGGGUUUGUAGAAAGAUUUGAAAAAAAAAAUAAUUAUUGACUUUGUAACUAAUUUUAUGUUUAUAGAAAAUUAUUGAUAGGCAUCUAGAUGUAUCGUGUUUUCUUUAAACUUAUAAUCCGAAGUCAAUUAAUAUAUGCUACGCUUCAAAAUGUUAAAAAACUACAGAACUACUGUAAUGGGUUAGUUGAAACAUAUUUAAUGCUGUUAUACCUUGUGCUUUGAAAAUAAAAAAAAAGUCGAAGCCUGUGAGAUAAUUACGCUGUAUUCUUUCUUAACAAGAAAUGUUCUGUUUUUCAUUUGGAACAUUGCGCCUCUUUUUCCUGAAUACUAUAGUACGUCUUUUGAUAUUUUGUCCUUUCUUUUUUCACAGGUGAAGGUCUCUCGGAAGAGAUAUUUUUGGCCAUGGGCGGAAAUGCAAACCUCGGUGUACUUCUGGAGAGAAAUUAUUGAGCUAGAUCAAACGAUAUCGACAAUUCACCGGCAAAAAGGGAACAACACCGCCGAUCAAAACAACAUUAAACGACUUAUUGAGUGACACUGGACUGACUUCUUGCCGUGACGUGAUAUAGACCAUACAAUAUGAACGCCAGCGACACGGGGAAUCUAUCGUCCACACACUUUCACUGGUCAGUGACGGACACCAACCCCUCCGGUGGGGGAACUAUGCUGUACAACAUGACGGACGAGGAGUACCUCCUCAGUAAGAUGGGGCCCCGGCGGAAGGACAUGCUCUCCGUGGUGUGUCUGCUCGCCAUCUACUGCUUCAUCUUUGUGACUGGGGUAGUGGGCAAUGUUUGUACCGCCAUUGUGAUCGUCAGGAACCGGUACAUGCAGACGACCACCGACUACUACCUGUGUAGCCUGGCCAUCUCCGACAUCCUCAUUCUGGUGUCAUGUCUUCCUUUUGAGGCAUACUCCAUUUGGCAGGCCUAUCCAUUCAGCUUUGGAGAAGUGUUCUGCAUCGGUAAAGCAUUGCUGACGGAAAUGACGUCAUACGCAUCAGUUCUGACGAUUACCGCAUUUACAGUAGAGCGAUAUAUCGCGAUAUGUCAUCCAUUGAUGUCACACAAAAUCGCGGACCUGAGACGGUCAGUUCUGAUCAUUAUAGGCAUCUGGACUGUGUCCUUUCUAAUUGCAUUACCUUACCCAGUACACACACGGACGUUAUUCUAUGAACAUAGUCCCACCACCGGGAAACCGCUGCACGACUCCCUCGUGUGUACAAUUCCACCGGAGUGGAUCUUUGAAAUGACAGUUAUGUUCCAAAUCUCCACAUUCCUCUUCUUUAUUGUGCCCAUGACUGCCAUUAUCAUUUUGUACGUUUUGAUUGCCAUAACUUUGCGACGGACGGCGUUAAACAGAGCAAAUUCGGAAGAAUCCACAGGUGGACAUCAUUCCUCGCACACUCGGCGGGUCGUCCGAAUGUUAGUGGCUGUUGUGGUUGCCUUCUUUUUCUGCUGGGCUCCAUUCCACACACAACGACUGUACACCAUCUAUCACGCCAAACAGUGGACCCCGUUUGAAUUAGAAGUACAAAGUCACCUGUUUUACAUCUCAGGUGUUCUGUAUUUCGUCGGUUCUACAGUUAAUCCAUUCCUCUACAACGUCAUGUGUAAGCGCUACCGCCAGGCGUUCAAGGAGACGCUGUGUUCUUGUUGUGGCCACCGGAAGUCCAAAUACCAGCGCAGCCUCAUAUACUAUUAUAACAACAUGAAGAGCACUGUCAGAAGCCAUUCCUCGCCAGAGAAUGACAAACAACCGGAAAAGACGAACUUAAACAAUAUCAACUCAGGGAACUCCAAGAGAGAGACUAACUACCCGGUGACGUCAAAAUUGUUGUCCAAUAGCGUCAAAUCGCACGCGGCUCACCGCCAUGAACAAAAGUCACGUGACGGAAACUACGCUGACAAUGAAUAUCAUUCUGAUAACGAGGAUGUGAAACUGUUGACCUACUUACCUUUAAAUAAGGCCACGAAUGUAGAUACGGUGGUGCCAGUCAAAUCCAAUGUGACCACGCCCACCUGCCUCUGAAUCAGAGAAGCAGGUGCGCGGGGAGUUGUUCAGACGGAUGUAACACAUAAACUGUGAACAAGUUUUUCCAUGUAAACCAAAAUUACUGGUGCAAAUAGCAGAGUAUUGCCAGAGAAAUAAAAACCGUGACCAUGAAAAAAAUUUACAAAAGGAGUUUAAUAUUAACGAUAUCAAAUCAUUCUCAAUGGUUUAUGUUUUGUUCCUUGGUGCAUAAUCGCACUUUCCUAACAUUUGUUUGUAUAUAUCAUUGUUACUUUUGUGGCAUUAUGUAAAUGUACGUUGAUGUAAAAAAGACUUAUUU